AGCAAUCAACCAGCAGAUCAACUGGAUCAGUGAGGGGAGCUCCAGCAGAGGGGGACAGCAUCAUCAAGCAGCAGCACAUCAGCAGGCACAAAAGUAUGAACUCCAAGCAUUGUCACAAGACAUCAGAGACACCGAACCGUUAUUUGAUGAAUACUUCUGAAAGAAGAUGAAGAGGUGCAGCUACAAAAUCAAUACAAAUGACCACUGACAAAUCCUGCCCAUCCAGCAGUCUGCUUUCUGAUGCUUACCUCGGUUCAGGUGUUGGGUGCAGCAGUCUGAUCAGAGACAGCCCGACCUCAUUUUCCUUUGUAGCUUCCUGCACCUCCCCCAGCUCCUCUGGAGUCCCACUGAGACGUUUACAAGUCUGCACGACACCCAGUCUCUCUGUAUGCAAUUUUUGUCAGACUAUGUAAAGUGUCCAUUCUGUGUUUUUGCUGUUUGGAAUGAUAAAUCUAAAGAAAUGUUUCCAUGUUUGUAUUAUGCUUUAUUUUUUUAUGUAGCCUAUUGAUAAUUCAGCUUUUACAUUAAUACACUUGCAAAUGGAGUGGUGUAAGUAAAUAACAUUCAU